CAGCUGCGAUGUCGAUAUCUAAAUAUGUCGGUUUCGAUUCUCUGAGUUGAUGUGAAGACUACCUUCCUUGGCUGUGUCUGAGCUC